GACCUAUCAUAUAUAAAUAAACAUUUUUCUCUCAGCUUUUAGGAUAUGGAAGAAAAGAUUGACUUUUUCAACAAAUAUACAAUUUGAUUCCCUCAACUGAAAUAGCCAUCAGAUUCAAGAAAAAGAUAAAAAGUGCAAGGAUUUUUUAAAAAUUUCAUGCUAGGGCUUUGGAACACAGAUCAACAGAACUGUGCUCAAAGCGAGCUGGGUUUCCCACGAGUGGACCUUUGGAGGUGCUGUGUCCCAAACCCUCAUCCCCGAUGUCUCUGUAUGCCUCGCUCAUGUUCUCUCUGGGAGAACAGGGGAAGGAUUCAUCUGAAGAGGUUUCAGGUGUAUGACAUACUGAUUCAACAACUCUGUACGUUACUCAGCGCUUACCAAGACAAGUGGAGUCACCAUCUGUCACCAUAUGAGUUAUUACAAUAUUUUUGCCUAUAUUUCCUGUGCUGUACUUUUCAUCUCUGUACUCAUUUAUUUUAUAACUAAGUUUGUACCUCCUAAUCCUCUUUAUUUUUUUCAUCUGUCCCCGUACAAGUCUCCCCCCAGGGAACCACCAAUUUGAUCUCUGUAUUCAAUAAUCUGUGUUGGGGGUGCACCUGGGUGGCUCAGUCUGUUAAGCAUUCAACUCUUGAUUUCAGCUCAGGUCAUGAUCUCAGGAUUGUGAGAUUGAGCCUCACGAUGGACUCCAUACUGAACGUGGAGCCUGCUUGAGAUUCUCUCUCCCUCUCUUUCUGCCACAACCCCUGCCCCGAUCCCUGCUCACGUGUGUGCCCCCCACCAAAAAAGGAAUUUGUUUUUUAUUUCUUUGUUCAUUUGUUUUGCUUUUUAGAUUCACAGUUUUAGCACGAACACAAAACAAGAGCUAGACGAGAUAGAAGGGGGGGAAAUCUCAUAUGUUAAGGGGCAAAGAUGCUCAGACCUAGUAAUGGGAUCGUGAUGGAGAGUAGAGUCAUCGCCCCACCCUGCUUCACCGAGGUCAAAAACUUUCAAACUGUACAGACUGGCAAAGGUAAUGUUUUAGAGGUGAGAGGCAUUUCAGUUACUUGCAUCUCUUAUCAGCUCAAGAAUGUGACGCCUGCCUCUCCCUGAAUAAGACAGGUGCCUCGCUGAAAACACCCAAGACAGGAUGGGCUCAACUUUCAGAAAAUUCACAGUAAAUUCGAGAUUGGAUGGAACCUAUAAAAUAACAAGAUACAGACCUCUAUUCAUGUUACAGAUGUGCUCACAUUACAAAAGCACUAUCACUUUUUAAAAGGAUGUGCUUGUUGUGGGUUUUCAUUUGAAUAAAAUCUUCCUAGUAUAUUUAAGAUAGGUGAAAUUGCAAAAAUUUAAAAUAUGUGAAUUGCCAGAAUUUUAGAAACAUACCUUUUCAGCAAUGUAUUUAUGGCACGCUGAAUUACACUCAUAAUAGACAGAGAAAGCAAAUCUUUAUAUGAAAAUCAGUGCCAUUGCCAUCGCUUUUUUAUUGAGGUUAGUCAUAUGCACAACAUAAUUAUCUAAUAAUGGUGGUAAUUAAAAUAUUAGAUGCAAGACAUUACCAUUUAAAUUUGCGGAGGAAAGAUCAAUUGUUCAAAAAACAUGACAGACACAUAAAGGGCAAGCUUAAGAGCAACAGGAACAAAAUCUCUACUCAAAUUGUUUUCUCCUUUGUUCCUAAAUAUUUAGCACUUCAACCACUUACUAUUUAAAUGCGAAGAUUUCCAUUCUACCACUGAACUGGAAAUUGCUGAGAUCUUCAAAAAUAUAACUUACAAAGGGAAAGAAAAUGUGCAUG